AUUGAACGCUGGCGGCAUGCUUUACACAUGCCAGUCGAACGGUAACAGGCCGCAAGGUGCUGACGAGUGGCGAACGGGUGAGUAAUGCAUCGGAACGUGCCCAGUCGUGGGGGAUAACUACUCGAAAGAGUAGCUAAUACCGCAUACGAUCUAUGGAUGAAAGCGGGGGACCGUAAGGCCUCGCGCGAUUGGAGCGGCCGAUGUCAGAUUAGGUAGUUGGUGGGGUAAAGGCUCACCAAGCCAACGAUCUGUAGCUGGUCUGAGAGGACGACCAGCCACAAUGGGACUGAGACACGGCCCAGACUCCUACGGGAGGCAGCAGUGGGGAAUUUUGGACAAUGGGCGCAAGCCUGAUCCAGCAAUGCCGCGUGCAGGAAGAAGGCCUUCGGGUUGUAAACUGCUUUUGUAAGGAACGAAACGGCUCUGGUUAAUACCCGGGGCUAAUGACGGUACCGUAAGAAUAAGCACCGGCUAACUACGUG
rnacentral:rRNA from 1 species